UCGUCCAAUCGUACACCAGUGCAGAAAAAUGUUAGUCAGCAGUGCCGGUUACCUCCGUUUGCCUUCUCCCUUAUUGGUGGAGACUGUCUGCUUCAAGAGACUGGGGAAUCCUUGGAUUUCUGCGCUGUCCUAUUCCAACGACCAGUCCCCAAAAAACCAGAUCGUCCAAAAGGGCAGGACUACUGCUCGCUCGUUUUGUGGGGAGUUGGUUUUUCCUUCUUUCUUGCCCAGCCGAUUGGACCUUUCUCUGCACGAAGUCGAGGUGCUUCUGAAGCAGCAAGUAUGGUGCGUCCUCUCCUGGGUUGAAUACCCAGACACUGCAGUCCCGGAAGUGUCACUGAGGACAAUUAUGAUUCCAGCUUAAGCGUUCGGCUAAAACCAGCAAUGGAGGUUUCCCUAAGCAGUGGCUGCGGGGUACUGUUGCUGGCCAGAUACAGUACCUUUAAAUCAACAUUGCUGUCUCCAGACACCGGCUAAAUAUGUCUGCGGCCCAAACCAGCAAAAGAAAAAAAAAAAAAAAAACCGGCCUCCCUCUGCAUGCUUUCCUUCCAUCAUGUAUCUUCCGUGUGUUUUGAUUGAUUUUUAUUAACGUGGGUAGUCACAGCAUUGGGGAUAUUUUGCCCUUUGACGUACAUAUUUGUGGUCAGUUUAUCGCGAAGACGUAGAGCAGAUUUUAAGCGUUGUGCAUAAUGGUCACGGGGGGAAGGAUCGGCCUCCUUAGCUCCUGGCUCUCUAACAUGUCCGCCGCCAAAACCAACACACGAAGCAACAGGUGUCCCGCUCCUGCGCGCGUUUCCAGAACCAUCCGUCCCGGUCAGCUUCGAUGUGUGGGUAUUGGCGAGGCCAUGGUAUUGGGGACGUUUUGUACUUUUUCACAUUUGUAAAGAAUAACAUGUAGGUAUAUUAGGGACUCUAAGCCUUGAUGAUGCGCAGUUUUUUGGAUCAAACAUCAAAACCACACAAAUGCACACAAAUUCCCGAUGGACCAGACAAACCGUACUGCUCAUCUCUGUUUACAAACCCCACAAGUGGCUCUUGAAGGCCUAAAAGUCUUUGAGAAGAACGUCUUCCACUUACCACACCCAAACAGUUGGGUCAGUUUCUAUGUUUUAUUAUUAUUUUUUGCGUAUUCUUUACAGAGUUUUACUAAGGCUGAGAGUCCCCUCUUUUAAGUAAAGUACUAAUGUCUAGGUGUUUUUAUUUGUUUUUAAACUUUGCUAGUAUAAUUCUAUGUUAGCCAUGUAUGCCACUGUGUGUAGACUAGCUGUAGAAAUGCAUUGUUUCCUUGUGGUAAGUGACUGAGAUGCUGCCACGGAUUUGAGACACUGAUGAAUGGUGCUAUUUUGGACUUAAAAAAUCGGCUCCUUGGUAAGGUUGCUCCGAUGGUAUUUCUUUUUUCGUUUCUUUUUUCGUGUUUUAAGAAAGGUUUGGGUUCUUUGUUAGAUGGUCGUAACUUGGUGUGGAUUGACUUUGAUUUUCUGUUGCUUUCUGUGUGGCUUUCUCAUUGGGUGUGCGAUGGACAAAGAAAAAACAGCAAAAAGCAAAUGGCAGCUGCAAGAUCGAGCCUGAAAAAAAGUGGGGAUGGGAGCAAUCACAAAACUGCAGUCUUGGUACCAUUUCCCUUUAAUAGCUAGCAAUCCAAUAUAAUACAUUUUCAGCACUUUCUAAUUUUAUCAUUAUUUUGCCUUCAUGCCUGACCCAGUACUGAACCAGGAGUGUGUGAGUGUUUUCCCUCUUGGAUAGUCAAUCUAAUUUAACUAUUUCCAAUAAUUAGUGAGAUACUCUAACCAGUCAAGCUAUGUGGGAGGACUAGUACGGUAUUCAUAUGCAUGAAAUAUGAUGAACAAAUUCAAAUUCUUUGUAGUCGAGCUACAUGCAACAACACACUAGCUAUUAUUGUAAACACUGGUCAGAAUGAGUGGUUAUCGAUUGAAGUAUCUUUCAUACAGUUUACAUUUAAUUUCAUGUGUUUCUCCUUUAUUUUAGUGACCUUUGUAGCAUUCAUUUUUAUCUGCUAAGAUAAGUGCUUUUAUAGCCUUACCACAGCAUUCACUUAGAGAUGAUUUUUUUGGAGGUUGAAAGAUUAAUAUUUAUGUUGGCAUGGAAGCAUCAAUCGAGUAGUUUGCUAGCUACCUGUAUACGGUAAUGCAAUGAGUUUUAGGACUAAAAUUCCAAUUUUACUCAACUUUUAAAAGUUUGUGGUUUUCACAUCAUGUCACAUGAUCAUUUUCAAAUAUUCCUCCUGUAGUCACAGUAUGGUUGCAACUGUAGUGGUAUCAGUCUAUAGUGAUUUAAAAUCUUACAGUUAUUACAACAAUAGUUUUGUUUAAAAAGACAAGAUAUAUUAAAAUGACAAAUGUAAGGAGUGGUUACAUUGUACAAUAAAUAAAUGGAGCACAUCCAUAUGUUCAGCUUUUUAAAAAUGUUUCUUAAAAUGGUUUUUACACUAUGACACUGCAUAAGUAUGGAUAAUCUUCCCAUGAUGUCACACUUUGGGAUAUCCAUACGAUUCCAUAUCCAUAACCGAAACCAUGGCUACUAAUGUUACAGUAGUACCCCAUAACAGUGCCUGAUAUGCUAAACCUAAACUGUUACAUCAGGUAUGUUACAAUAUCUGUCAAAGGAUGUUACAGUCUCCAAAAUGAGAUGGAUAUGUAGCAUAAAGAUUAACAAUCAAAAGGGACAAUCUUUUCUCAUGUCUUAAAUGGGUUCUGCUGUUAUGCUUUAAUAGUAAUACUUUUAAAAAUGAAAAUAAUCACAAAUUAGGAGAAGAAAAAAUGCUUAUUUUUCACAACUAAAUUUAUAUUGAAGAAAUAUUGUUUAGCAGUUUUGUCUUUGUCUCCAUAAUCUGUACCCUCUGCUAUUGCAUUAUGAUAACCAACUUGAAAGCCCACAUUAGGUUAUUGUAGGUUGUCUUAUUUUACCCUGGUACAGAACUUUCUAGCUGUUUUUAUUUUAUCCCUUUUUGUAAUUCCUAUUUACUGCAUGUCUUGUUCUCUUUCUUUAAUUUUAUAUCUGAAAUUAAGACUUAUCCCUGUUAGAAUAGCAAUGUUAGCUGUUUUGUACAUAGCAAGUGACAGCAUUAAACAAGUUUGGCGUCAAGUCUGUUUACUAUAGGUAUAUAUACUGUUGAUAUAGACUACUAUAUUUACGACUGUGUAUAAUCAAUAAACACCAGCUUUGUAAGUAUUGCAAGUCCAGAUAUUUUUGUGUACUAAACAUGAUGUACCUUAUCUGGGGCCGUGGCUCCUGUAAUGUGAUUUGUAGGUGUGAAAAUGCAUGUGCAAACGAACAGUAAAACUCCAGUUGCAUUAACUGAGAUGAACUGAGUUUUCUCUCUUUGUGAUGGUUUUUGUGGCCAUUUGAGCCCAGCUGAUUGGGUUUUAUUAAAGUGUAAUUUGGUUAGCGUUCUGGAUUUGACACAUGAAGACAGCUACCUGCUGUACGUCUUUUGUGAAAUAGGUGUUAUUUGAGCCAUGUUUGAGCAACUAAAAUGAGUUAAAAAAAACAGUUGUUCCAAAGCUUGCUCUUGUUUAUUAGUUCAAUUAAUUCAGCCUUAAGAUUAGCUGUUCAAUCAAUAGUUUGUUGCCCACAGCUGUGGACUGAGCUGUUGAGUGAAUCAAGACCAACCCAAAUCAAUUAAGACAUGUCUUGAGGCAUGUAUUAACUGUUAAGGUGUAUUUAAGUCAUGUUUACAUAUUUUGAGAUUUGUUUUAGAGUAAUAGUUAUAUGUUCAGUACCUUUUUGAGAUAUCAAGUUUUAUCAUUUAUGUUACAUAUCCUAACAUCUAUGCUAAGUUAGAACUUGUUUACAACAGUAGUUGAAGGUUUUAAGGUAUGAACUUGUCCACGGACAGAGUACAGUCAAAUUAAAUCCAUCAAAUACUGAUCAGUAUUCUGUUGUUAAAUCAAACAAGCCUAAUUAAAUUGAAAAAGUUGGACAUCAGGACUAAAUUUAGACCUUGCUCUGGCCACUACAGUUUAUAUUGGUUUACUGGUAACACUUUGCUAUAUAUCUGUAUUUGAAGGUGUUGGAUUAAUGUGAUGCUAAUAGCUAAAUGGUUGUGAUUUUAUUGAAACGAAUCCCAUAAAAGGCUUGCAAUUAUCUCUGGACUUACAGUAUGUUAUUUCUAAUAGUAAUAAUAAAGCACUACAAGUAUACCAUGUAUUUUGUCAAUUGCAGUAGUUCAAUAAAUAUGCAAGGUCUUAAA